rnacentral:rRNA from 1 species
CCUACGGGAGGCAGCAGUGAGGAAUAUUGGUCAAUGGACGCAAGUCUGAACCAGCCAUGCCGCGUGCAGGAAGACGGCUCUAUGAGUUGUAAACUGCUUUUGUACGAGGGUAAACGCAGAUACGCGUAUCUGUCUGAAAGUAUCGUACGAAUAAGGAUCGGCUAACUCCGUGCCAGCAGCCGCGGUAAUACGGAGGAUUCAAGCGUUAUCCGGAUUUAUUGGGUUUAAAGGGUGCGUAGGCGGUCGGAUAAGUUAGAGGUUAAAUCCCGAGGCUCAACUUCGGCAUUGCCUCUGAUACUGUUCGGCGUGAGAGUAGUUGCGGUAGGCGGAAUGUGUGGUGUAGCGGUGAAAUGCUUAGAGAUCAUACAGAACACCGAUUGCGAAGGCAGCUUACCAAGCUACUUCUGACGUUGAGGCACGAAAGCGUGGGGAGCAAACAGGAUUAGAUACCCCAGUAGUC